ACGGGCCUUCAGGAGAUGCAGGCCUGGGGUAGUCUCCUUUCUGGACUGAGAAGAGAAGAAUGGAGAAGCCCCUCUUCCCAUUAGUGCCUUUGCAUUGGUUUGGCUUUGGCUACACAGCACUGGUUGUUUCUGGUGGGAUCGUUGGCUAUGUAAAAACAGCCGCUACAUCUGUUACUUUUGUUGGUAUUAUGGGAAUGAGAUCCUACUACUAUGGAAAAUUCAUGCCUGUAGGUUUAAUUGCAGGUGCCAGUUUGCUGAUGGCUGCCAAAGUUGGAGUUCGUAUGUUGAUGACAUCUGAUUAGCAGAAUCAGAUGUUCCAGCUUGGACUCAUGAAGGAUUAAAAAUCUGCAUCUUCCACUAUUUUCAAUGUAUUAAGAGAAAUAAGGAAUAUCUUUUCUUUUGCUCAUCUUAGA
rnacentral:lncRNA from 1 species